AAAUAGAACCAAAAGAUGUUACAUAGAUUCGGAAAGGUGGCUUUCUAGUCUUUAGACUGUUCCUAAGAGAAUCAGCGUCCUUGUGUCCAAAAAUUGGAAUUGUUGUGCGUGUUGAAUCACUAUCACUGACCAAUGAGGACUAACCUGUUUCUGUCGGAGGCCCCCACCUUCUCCGACCCACUAGACCUCCGACCUUCCUCCUUCUUCCUUUCCUCUGCAUCUUUCCCUCCUCUCGGAAUACGAUGCCACGGGGCAACAGCGCCACCUUCCUGCAGCGGCUCCUACCUCUCUGCAAGACCACCCCAUCGCACCCCCCCGCCCGCCCUCUCGACCCCAACCGACAUCCCUACCCCCAAAAUACCAUCACACAGCACCACUGCUGCAUGAGAGACCUCUGACUAUGUACUGGAUGAAGUCACAUGCAUACCGUAUAAAGCGUACAGUACAGACCCUCGGCAUGAAGCGGAAGGGAAUAUUUAGAAAAGUCAUCAAAUAUGUCAGGGAGUCAUGAAAGAAAUAAUCGGUUAUGAAAUAGAUGAUUCAUAAAUAGGUUCAUUAUCACCAUUUCAGAUUUUAGAUAAAUUUAAAUAUUGACUUUUGAUUUAAGUCAAUAUUUUGCUUUCCUUCCCAGUUGGUGUUGGUCACAUUGUGUUAUUUCAGCUAAACAGGGGUGUGCUCGCUUUAUGUGCGCUCAACAAAAAAAAUGAAAUCCUGCUUCUUUUUGGUUAUGUUUUUGUUUUUGUUUUCUGAACAGCAAACCAAUUGAACCCUAGAGGACUCUGUUGUUCCCUUCAUCCAUCUACGAGCGAGGCCCGGAUCCUUCCACGUGCUCCUCCUCCUCUAUGCAACACACAACGUUCCCGUUUUUUCAUGUAAAAUAAGAGUUUUGCCGCUCACUUCCUCCACGAAUGAAUGAAUGAAUGAAACUGUUACCUUAUUACAAAAGAAGGCGGGAUGUGAUUAAAAGUGCAAUAUGUAGCAUGUUUCUGUGCUGGCAGAAAGAGGAAGGAGCGCCAAGUAAAAAAAUAAAUCUGUGUUCAGGGGGUCAGUGAGAGGAUUAAUCCAUCUCCGCAAAUUCUCCUUCUGUUGCUUUACCACUUCUUUCAAUGGUGGUGUGUUGUAUUUGCCCCCCCCCCCCCCCUCCCCCAUCCCGUACCCUACUUGUUUAUCAUGGGACAUAUCUUUGAUUAACGGUUGAUUAUGUACAGUAUAUAUGUGUUGUGAUGUUUAGAGAAGUGUGAAUUGAACUUAAAUACAGGUAUUGAAGUGGUGUGUGUACAAUAUGGAUGUUGGCAGGGUGGUUGAUUCCUUGGCUGUUUAUUUUCUCGUCCCCCACCCCCUCCAAAAGAAAGAAAAGAAUAAGCUAACCAUGACUGGACCCUGCAGGAGCACUGCUGUCAUUUUCUUCACUCAUUAAAAACUGCAGUGUACUGAGAAGACUUUCUGUGUAUUUUGUCCCCACCCCCACACACAUUUCUGUUGAUAUUGUACACAAUAUUCUAGUUAUGUUAUACUAUAUAUAACUAUAUACUAUUUU